ACGCACUGCUAAGUGACUGGUUGUCUUCUCUAGACCUUCCAGUCUCAUUCCAGUGCAAGAUGAACUCCCUUCUAGCAGAAGGGCCAGGCCUCUUAUCCAAAGGUCUGGUUCUUUCGAAAGCUGGGAACAAUC